rnacentral:rRNA from 1 species
UAUUGCGAUCAUACCAGCACUAAUGCACCGGAUCCCAUCAGAACUCCGCAGUUAAGCGUGCUUGGGCGAGAGUAGUACUAGGAUGGGUGACCCCCUGGGAAGUCCUCGUGUUGCAACCCC